rnacentral:rRNA from 1 species
GUCGCACGCGCUUUCGUUGAUGAAUUACAAGUGCUUGCACCGAAGAUGAUUUUAGCUAUAAAGUGAGUGGCGAACGGGUGAGUAACACGUGGGUAACCUGCCCAGAAGUGGGGGAUAACACCUGGAAACAGAUGCUAAUACCGCAUAACAAAGUAAACCGCAUGGUUUACUUUUAAAAGAUGGCUUCGGCUAUCACUUCUGGAUGGACCCGCGGCGUAUUAGCUAGUUGGUGAGAUAAAGGCUCACCAAGGCAGUGAUACGUAGCCGACCUGAGAGGGUAAUCGGCCACAUUGGGACUGAGACACGGCCCACACUCCUACGGGAGGCAGCAGUAGGGAAUCUUCCACAAUGGACGAAUGUCUGAUGGAGCAACGCCGCGUGAGUGAUGAAGGCUUUAGGGUCGUAAAACUCUGUUGUUGGAGAAGAACGAGUGUGAGACCAACUGCACAUGCUUUCACGGUAUCCAUUCAGACAGCCGCGGCUUACC